rnacentral:rRNA from 1 species
UACGUAGGGACCAAGCGUUGUCCGGAAUCAUUGGGCGUAAAGAGCGUGUAGGCGGCUUGUUAAGUCUUGCGUGAAAUCUCGGGGCUCAACCCCGAGCGGUCGUGAGAAACUGGCAGGCUAGAGUGCGGGAGAGGAGAGUGGAAUUCCUGGUGUAGCGGUGAAAUGCGCAGAUAUCAGGAAGAACACCCGUGGCGAAGGCGGCCUGCUGGGCAGUUGCUGACACUGAGGCGCGACAGCGUGGGGAGCAAACAGG